rnacentral:rRNA from 1 species
AUUGAACGCUGGCGGCAUGCCUUACACAUGCAAGUCGAACGGUAACAGGUCUUCGGAUGCUGACGAGUGGCGAACGGGUGAGUAAUACAUCGGAACGUGCCCGAGAGUGGGGGAUAACGAGGCGAAAGCUUUGCUAAUACCGUAUACGAUCUCAGGAUGAAAGCAGGGGACCGCAAGGCCUUGCGCUCACGGAGCGGCCGAUGGCAGAUUAGGUAGUUGGUGGGAUAAUAGCUUACCAAGCCGACGAUCUGUAGCUGGUCUGAGAGGACGACCAGCGACACUGGGACUGAGACACGGCCCAGACUCCUACGGGAGGCAGCAGUGGGGAAUUUUGGACGAUGGGCGCAAGCCUGAUCCAGCCAUGCCGCGUGUGGGAAGAAGGCCUUCGGGUUGUAAACCACUUUUGUCAGGGAAGAAACGCUCUGGGCUAAUACCCUGGGGUAAUGACGGUACCUGAAGAAUAAGCACCGGCUAACUACGUGCCAGCCGCCGCCGUAACAC